rnacentral:lncRNA from 1 species
GUGGAAAUCAUCCUGUGAGGGAGUUUGGGCAUGGCCCUCAGGCUGGAAUUACUUCAGGUGACCGCAGCUGGUGGUCACAAGGAGGUGGAGCAUUCACCAGAUGAAUGGACCGGGCUUGUGAAGGUUCUUUGGGUCGUGGUGGGGGAGAAGAGCUGCAGGAGUCUCUGACAUGGGAUCAGCACCAUCCUGCAGGGAUCCUGGGUGCGUGGGGCUGCUCACUCCUGCCACAGUGUCAGAGAAAAGGCCAAAAGCACAGAGGGAAUGGGAUGAGAAGCACAGUCCAGCACAGAAGGUGCCUUCUGAGCCAAAUAAUCUGCAGGGAGUUCAGGCGCAGCACAUUCUUUCCAAAGAGGGACCUCUGCAAAAUCCUUGACAAAAUCCUCACCUCAGAAAGCCUCCCACUGGAGUGUCAAGCCUGCUGCUCCUGCUUAGGCAGGAGUUGCCAUGGCCUGAACCAAUCCUCCACUCACAUGGAUUAAACAGCACUUCUGCAAAGUAAUCCCAAAGAAAACCAGCUGCUGUGACAGGAAAAAAGCACACUGUAGCCAUGAGUUGGCUGUGGAACAGGCAGUGAUGGCAGGCUCAGCUGCAGGUACUGAGCCAGAAGAGAUCUCAGAUUUGCUCUCAGCAAGCUGGUUUCACACCAAGAGCCAGCCCCCACCCUGGGAGAACUGGAACAUCACAACAAAAGGAAAGGAAAAUGUCUUAAAAAUCAAUGUCCAGCUCAGAGGCAUAUCAGUAUUGCUCCUCCAGCAGAGAAAUUAGACACCCACCUGCUCCUACACUGCCUGGAGUUAUGACAGAGUGGGGACAACUCUUGUACAUACCCUGCAGUCAUUUUCAUCUCAGAGUGCCUUUACAUUAGGAGAAAAAAGGUACUUUAUGCCCACAUGAGGCCCUUUUUAUGCCACUAAAAUGAAUCAAGAAGAAAAACUCUUGCUCAUAAUGCACUCCAGCACAGGGAAAUUUUUGCCUUUGGAAGAGCAGUGGAGAGAUUGGAGUCUCAGCAAUUAUUCCUUUCACCCUAAAUGUCUUAUUUUGUGUGCAUAUUUUUAAUCUGAUUCCUGAAUCUGGGAAUUAGGCAAUGGCAGCAAAACCCUGCCAGAACUUUUGGCAGAGGAGUGCUGAGAAAGGGUGAGCUCAGCUGUGCUCCUGAGGAGAAGAGCUUUUGGGGUGAAAGAUGUGAUUUGGAUGAUCCAUAACCUCAAAGAGGGGUGUAAAUGGCUACACCACACCCAGCCUCUGGUACCCAUCUGCCUCAAGCACCACAACUGUGCUUCCCAGCACUGAGGAUUUUGUGACCUGGCUCCAUGUGACACAAGUGAUCCAAAACUGGGAACCAAAAUACCAUCCUGGAAAGCAGAGUCACGAGGAGAGCACUGUGGAAGGGUCUUUCUGGGGAAGAUGAUGUGUUUUCCACAGGCCCUAUGGAUAUGGAGCAGGGGACAAAGUAAUCUACAUGCAGUUCCAGAUUAAAAAGAAGAAAGGGAAAAAAAAAGGAAAAAAAAAAAGAAAAAAGAAAAGAAAAUGGAAAAAAAAGGAAAAAAAUUUAAAAAAAAGAAAAAAAAAAGAAAAAAUAUAAAAGAAAAUAAAAAUAAAAGAAAAAAGAAAAAUAUAAAAGAA